rnacentral:lncRNA from 1 species
GCUUAUGUGUACCUGGUUAGGACCGUUAUCUUCAGGGGGUUGGUGGCCUUGGCUUGCGUAAGCAAUACGCAUCAUCUGAGUUUUCAUAACUUGCAACGAAUCCAGGGCCUUACAUGAACAGGUUCACAAAGUUAUAAGUUAGUUUUGCAAGUAAAUGUUUAAACUAAACUCUGAGAUUGCUUGGGUUUUGAGCUGCCUCAACAGCGGCAGUUGCUGCUCUAUCUUUGAUCUCCACGUUAGACAAUACUUCUCGAAGUUCAUAGUUUGAUGAUGUA